rnacentral:rRNA from 1 species
GGUUAUGAGAGAGAGUAUAAGGAUAUGGGUAAUAAUGGAGGUAAUAGGAGUAAUAGCAUCAGGAGUAAAAGGGAUAGAUGUAGGUAAAGGAAUGAUGAUAAGACAUAUGAAAGAAGGAAUGGAGAAUAUAAGGAAGGAUUAUAGUAAAGAGGAAAUAAUGGUAGAGUUGAUAAAAGGAGUGUAUGUAGGAAUGGUGAGUGUGAUGUAAAGGAAGAGUAGAGUAAGAGAGAGGUGUAUGAUGCAAGCAAAGCAGGGACGCAGUAAUCAGGGUAUAACACAUGCAAGUAGGAGAGCGUACGGGUGAGUAAAGAGGUGUGAAAGAAGUCGAGAAAGAGGAAAGCACAAAUGUGAGUAGAAAUGGGAAGAAAAAAGCCCAGUAAGGAGAGCAAAGCGAGAAUCUGAGAGGAGGAAAGCCACAUUGGCACUGAGAAAAGGGCCAAACAAGAAUGUCAGCAGUGGGGAAAAUUGGGCAAUGUGCAGGAAAGCAUGACCCAGCAAUGAGAAGUGAGGAGAGUUAGAGAAGGAGAUAAAAAGAAGGAGUAAAGAGGAAGUUAUGGCAAAAAAACGUGCCAGCAGCAGCGGUAAAACGUGUGUAGCGAGCGUAGGGCAAAAGAACUGGGUGUAAAGUUGAGUAGUGGUGAAAGUGUAAAGAAAAGGGUAAGGAGAGAAGAAGAGAGGGAUGAAAUGCGAAGAAAGAGAAAGAAAGGCAGUAAGAAAAGAAAGAAAGACACGAGAAAUGAGGCGAGAAGGCUUAGGAAGUGAAAGGGAUUAGGUACCCCUGUAGUCUAGGCAGUAAAAGAAAGAAUGAGAGAGAAGAAAGGAAGUCAUUCCACCAGGGGAGUAAAGACGCAAGAAAGAAACCCAAAGCAAUUGACGGGAAUCGGAAAAAGGGGUGGGUCACGUAAAUUAAUCCGAUGUAAAACGAGAACCUUACCCAUGAAGUAGAGGUGCUGCACGGCUGUCUAAAGUACGUGCUGUGAGGUGUGAAGGUAACGGACGAGAGAGUAAAGAGAGAAAAAGAAGGCAAGUAGAGGGCGGCCCGUAAGCAUGGGGCAAAAGACGUGACACAGAGUAGGAAGCAAAGAAAAGAGAGAAGUAGAGGAAGUAAAAGAAGAAAGAAAGAACUAAGAGGUACGGAAAGCACAAGGAAGGAGUGUGAAGGAAGAAGGAAUCCCAAGUAAUAGUGUAAGAAAAAGGCGCGGUGAAAGAGUGAACGGAUUGUGUACACACUGCCCGUCAAGUUCUGGGAGUGUGCUAAGAAUAAGAAAGAAAAGAAGAGGAAGAAAAGAAGAAGGAAAGUGAAGAGAAAAGAUAAAAAUUAGCAGAUGACUGGAAUUAAGUCGUAACAAGGUAGGCGUAGGAGAACCUGUGGCUGGAAA